GUCGUCGCGAGGCGGGGUCUGAAGGAAGCGUGUAGCAAAGGCCACGACCUGACGAACAGAAACCGCCUGCAUCCAUGGCCAGAACAACGUUUCCUCGUCAAACACCGACGGUAGGAGCCGGAUGCCCUAAUU
rfam:Candidatus Burkholderia humilis strain TZHbot5 BHTMctg54, whole genome shotgun sequence.